GAAGCCAAGGGUGACGGAGCCUUAUAUUUCAUGGACCGGAUCUGGACACCGAAACACGGUGGUUUCCGAGACUUGGUCAUGACCGAGGCGCACAACACUCGGUAUUCCGUCCACCCAGGUUCAGAUAAGAUGUAUCUGGAUCUUAAAAAGCUAUACUGGUGGCCUAAUAUGAAAGCAGAGAUUGCUACCUUCGUAAGUAAAUGCCUUACUUGCGCAAAGGUUAAGGUCGAGUACCAGAAGCCCUCUGGUUUACUGCAACAACCAGAGAUUCCAGAAUGGAAGUGGGAGCGGAUCACUAUGGAUUUCAUAACCAAGUUGCCCAAGACAACGGGUGGACUUGAUACCAUAUGGGUCAUCGUUGAUAGAUUGACCAAGUCUGCACACUUCCUGCCUAUCAAAGAAACCGACAAGAUGGAGAAACUUACGAGAACAUACAUUAGGGAAAUUGUACGGCUACAUGGUGUACCUAUGUCCAUUAUCUCCGAUAGAGAUAGUAGGUUCACCUCAAGAUUUUGGCAAUCACUACAACAUUCCCUAGGAACAAGGCUGGACAUGAGCACAGCCUACCAUCCACAGACCGACGGACAGAGUGAGAGGACAAUCCAGACUUUAGAAGAUAUGUUGCGUGCUUGUGUAAUUGACUUUGGAAAAGCGUGGGAUACCCAUUUACCCCUCGUCGAAUUUUCCUACAACAACAGUUAUCACACGAGCAUAAAGGCAGCACCAUUCGAAGCCCUCUACGGUCGAAAGUGCAGAUCCCCUCUGUGCUGGGCUGAGGUGGGUGAUACCCAAUUAGCUAGGGGGCAAGCUUCUGACAGUACUCUCACUGGUCCGGAAAUCAUUUGGGAAACGACAGAGAAGAUCGUUCAGAUUGAUGAACGCUUGAAAGCCUCUAGAGACCGACAAAAGAGCUAUGCUGAUAAACGGAGAAAACCUUUGGAAUUUCAGGUGGGAGGCCGAGUCCUUCUUAAAGUCUCACCCUGGAAGGGCUUGAUACGCUUCGGUAAGCGUGGGAAGCUUAAUCCUAGGUACAUAGGGCCUUUCGAGAUUCUCGCAAGAGUCGGCCCCGUAGCUUACAAACUCGAUCUACCCGACACACUUCAUAAUGUACAUUCUACAUUCCACGUAUCUAACUUGAAAAAGUGUCUGUCCGACGAGACUCUCGUAAUCCCACUCGACGAGAUCGAGAUCAAUGAGAGCCUCAACUUCGUGGAAGAACCUGUAGAGAUCAUGGACCGUGAGGUCAAGCAGACGAAGCAAAGCCGUAUCCCUAUCGUGAAGGUUCGCUGGAACACCAAGCGAGGACCGGAAUUCACUUGGGAAUGCGAGGAUCAGAUGCAACUGAAAUACCCUCAUCUUUUCGCUUAGUUAUUUGUAACUUCUUAUUUGCUUAAACUCUAAUUUCGGGAUGAAAUUCCUUCUAACGGGGGGAUGAUGUGACAACCCGAAAUUUCCAUUUGUACGAACAUUAUCUAUUUAAUACAAGCUAGUCCAGUUUCAGUGAUUUUCAGACUUGUCCGAACAAGUUUGUGUACAUUAGGGUUUACGUUUCUAGAUAUAUCAGGAGAGUGGAUACUCCUGUGUUUGUGAAACUUGAACAUUCCAAGUUUCAUAAUGUUAUAGUCCAACUUCCGGAAUAAAAAUAUUUUCUGUCAAUAUAUUUCAGGACUAUAAAUAGAUUUCUGAAUUUAAUUAAUUCAUUAUUCACAAUUCCAACUAGAGAAAAGCCAUUUCUCUCUGACGGAUCUCCAGGUUUUCAUCCCGGAUUGUGCGUCUACUUUCCUAAAUGUGUUUUAAUGUUUGUUAUAUGCUUUAUAACAUUGUUUACAUGUCCAAAACACAAGAUCCGGGAGCUUACGGCCCAAGAACGUUCUUGGGUGUAAACUCCAAGUAAAGGCACAAAUGUGUGCCUAAUGUCCCCUUUAGCCUUAGAAAAAACAUGGAAGCUAUCCUACAUGUGCAAGUGCCUCAAAUGAAUUAAAACCAACACCCCAUAGGAGUUUACGGCCGUAAACUCAAGGGGAUAUGGUCCUUUGGUCGUAAACUCCCCAAAGGAGCAUUCCAAGGCCUUAAACUACUUCAAGGAUUAUUCCAACAAGGCUAGGCUUAUUCUAGGAUCAAGAUAGCACUUCAAAACAACCAAAACCACCAAGUGUGGAGUUCACGGCCGUAAACUCAUGGGUUCACGGCCUUAGAUAAAAACAUGGAAGCUAUCCUACAUGUGCAAAUGCCUCAAAUGAAUUAAAACCAACACCCCAUAGGAGUUUACGGCCGUAAACUCUAGGGGAUAUGGUCCUUUGGCCGUAAACUCCCCAAAGGAGCAUUCCAAGGCCUUAAACUACUUCAAGGAUUAUUCCAACAAGGCUAGGCUUAUUCUAGGAUCAAGAUAGCACUUCAAAACACCCAAAACCACCAAGUGAGGAGUUCACGGCCGUAAACUCAUGGGUUCACAGCCGGAAACUCCAAAGGGUGGCGUUUUUUGGGUGGUGAACUCAUAUACAAGGUCAUUGGUGCAUUAAACCCCUUUUGCCUUGUCCCGUAUCAACUUAGAUGCAACCAUUAGGACCUAUAACACUUAUAUAAAGUGUUUACAUGUUCCUAAGUGUCUCAACUUACUUUGUUAAGUUAUUAUUUGGCUAAUUAGUUAUAUAUAUGUUUAUUAUAUGAUAACUAGGCUCGAACGUGUGAACAAGUCUCUGUUUGCCACCUAGCACAGUACCCGAUACAUCAAUCAAAUCUACUCACCACAAGUGAGUUCAUACAUCUUUAAUCAACCUUUGAAAUACUUUUAAAUGUUUUAAAUACUUUAUGGGGGGAUACAAGUUAAAUACUUAUAGUUAUUGCAUCAAUCACAUGUGAUUGCAUUAAUCACAUGUGAUUAAUAACUAGAAAACCAAUGAUUUCAUCACUGUUCAAACUAUUUAUCAAACUGUUUUACUUCAAAAUCUUUUACAAACUCUUUUACUUAUCAAAUCCUUUUAUUAAACUUUGUUUUACUUCUUAUAAAUUACAUGCCCAUAUAUGUAUAGAUAUAUAAGUAAUGUUUAAAGGGCUUAGGAAGGCCAUCCGCCCUAUUUCCUUUUCGCGCACUGAGAUGUGGUCUAGUGGGAUUUCGGGUGACCAUCCGAAGGUCGUUUCAAUAUUAGUUAUAUAUCAUAUAUACAUGUAUAGACAUAAAAGUACUUCCAGAUUCAUACUUAUCAGUACAUCAAUAGCUAGUUACCAUCGGGGUAACACAGAACAUAUACAAUUAUACUAGAAACAGUACAUAUACAAUUAUACUAGAAACAGUACAUAUACAACUAUACUAGAACCAGUACAUAUACAACUAUACUAGAACGAGAAACAUUACAUAUACAUGAACACGUUAACAAUUGUGAUCCACUGUGUCGGAGCAUGCCUUAAAUGUCAUGGCCCGAGUUGUAGCCAAAAUUCUCUUGGAGGGAGAGCAUGACUACAGCCGGACCUGCAGGUCUGCGGGUGCCAAACGUCAUUUCUUUUAUUACGACCAUUCAUUAUGUCGUUGUUACCAGUCGAUAGCAUGGUGCAAUUUAUCACAUUAUGCCUUAAUAUAAAUCCGGGUUAAGGUAGUUAGAACAACAUUAGUUCUUAUCAUACAAAACUACAGUACUACAAUGAUUUACCCAUUACAUAUUUUAGUGAUAACCUCACUUGAACGUUAAUGUACAAACUAUAUUUUGUUAAAUGAUAGUUACACUUGGGAAAUUACACACUUUUACAUCAAACGAACGUACAAAACUGUUAAGCCAUGGUAGAAGGUUACUUUAAUAGAAAAUAUAGGUUUUUCUGAGAGAUCCACACUUUUACAAACACUUUCAAACACUUACUUACAUUUUUACAAAUUUCUACAUUGAGACAGGUUCAAACGUUUUGGCAACAAACAUUGACACUAAAAUACUUAUGAACUCAGCAGCUUAAUGCUGAUAAUCUCUUUUAAAAUACCUUGUAUUCUCAGGUCAUCAGUAGACAGGUACCAAGGCCAGCUUUUGAGAAGACGGAGCACAUCCAAGACUCAUCUUAUUAUUUUGAUAUACAUUAUUUUUGGUAUCUAUACUGUACAUAACACGCUUGUAUUAAAAUUAUAUAUUUAAUGCAAUGGAUGAUUUUGUUUGCUUAUUUACAUUUACUGUGUUGUGAUACUUUACAUGACGUCCUCUGCCCCAGAACGUUUCCGCCGUUCUUGAUUUUGGGGUGUGACACUUUUGAUGAUUUUCUUGAGGAAGUAGUACAGGAAAUUGAGCAAGAAGAUGAGGAGUAUGGCUCAGAUGAUGAUUUAAUGGAAUUUGGAAGAUGGUUAGAUAACAUCUUGCCUAACACACCAGAGCAAUCUGAGUCAUAAGAGUUGGAGUUAAAAGAUGAAGAUUUUAAUCCAGAAAGAGAUUUGGAGGAACUGGAAAGAUUUCUAGCAGAGGGGUCAGAUGAAGAACAAGAACAAGCUAAGUUAUAGGAACCAAGCUGUGGUUUGAUCAUUACCACGAUGUGGCCCCCUAUUCUUUCGGUUUGUGAUUCGAAGCAUGGGGUGACGACUCCAACGUUGGAGAAUGUUCUGAAGCACGAUCAAUUUCCGAUUAGUACCCGACCGGUUCCAACCAUUAUUAAGAUUUUUGGGUUACAUGAACUAAAACCCGUUUGGCCAAUUUUUGAAGCAAAGAGCCAAAUUUUACAAAUUGGUCCACCAAAGAAGAUAUUAAGUGAAAUGGAUGGAUUGGCAUUGAGUUUAUUGGAAGUUUAUUAAGUUGAGAGUCCAGCUAAAGACUCGCACAAAAUGAAGCGCUUGCGGGAGGCAACCUGUCAUUAGAGUUUGCUUUUCUUUUUCUUUCUAAACUUCUAGUAUUUAGGGAUAAUUUAGGAUUUUUAUUUUGAUUUUUUUUAUUAUUAUUACUUGGUAUUUGUUUUUGAUCUUUUUCAGUUUAAUUGUAAGGAUUGCAUGCGAGAUUCAAGAGUCAAGGAUAACCAAGGGAAAAAUCGAGUCUAUGCGAGAGAGAAAACGAAGUUCUGCGGACUUGGAAAAGAAACAUUUUUUUCCAUACAACGAUGGACUUGGCAAGUGCACUUACUUACUUGACGAGUCCUAAUAUAAAAACUCGACUUCUUCCAGUAUUACGCUACAACUCGGCAAGCCACCCUACAAACUCGUCGAGUUGAUCCUUUUUUUGUCUCUCAAGCUGAUGUUUUGAUAAUAUUUGAUACGGAAAUUGGAUACAUUUUUUAAGAAAAUUUUCCGAGGGUUUCCGAGAGUUUUUUUCCGUCUAUAUUUGGAGCUAUACCACAUGAGAUUUGAUGCCUGAGGCAUGGAUAAGCUGUUCCCAUGUCUAAAGUCAGCUGAAGAUGGAGCUUUCAAUGAAGAAUUUCAACCUUGCAACUAUUAUCCCAGGGGAGUUCUUUCUAAGUCUCUCUUUACUAUUAUGUUAGUUUUGAUGCAUAACAUGCAAUGGGGACAUUGCAUGAAUUAAGUGUGGAGUAGGGGGUUGGUUACUUUAGGAAACUUAGAAUCUUAAUUUAGGCUUAAUUUUUAAAAAAGAAAAUUGCAUUAAAAAUUGCUAGGACUUAACUUCGAAAACCUUGUUAAAAAGCUAUUAGGAUUCAAUGCUAGUAUUGUGUUUGAUGAUUUUAUGAGGACCCAAAUGUUUAGUUGAGCCUAUAUACGUUAUAAUGCAUUUGUGGCCCCCUUUAUUCUAGUGAAAUCAUGGGACAAAAACACAACCUUGCUUAGUUUGAAGAUCGCAAUAUGUUUAGCAUCGUGUACCUGAAAUGUAUCCAGGAAAGCUUAUUUAGUCAUUGCACAUUAGACUAAUACCUUAACCAAUAAGGGUUGAAGUUAAGCUCCCUUGUUUAAUCAUGUAGGUUUUGAGUGAAAAAAAGUGACAUACAUGUUUAAAAAAAAAAAGAGGGAGCGAAUUACAAGUCUUAUUUAACCCGAAUAAAUAAUCGAGAGAAUUAAUUAAUUUAGACAAUUGGCCACUGUUUGAGUUAGUUUAUUUUCUAAGGAUUAGUGAUAGCGAAUGUGAACCUAAUCACCUUAAUCGGUAAGCAAUAGAAGAGUUAAUCCGUUGCACUAUUACCGUAAAAUCAACCAUAGGAUCAAUUGAGUCGAACUUGAACAGAAGUCCCUUUAGAUAUUGAAUUUGGUUGGUCUUUGCUUGCUUAGUUGCUAGUUAGUAAUUUAGUUUAAGAGUUAGUAAGUUUCUAGUCUUGUAAAACUAUAGAAACCCCCUUCUUUUACUAUCUGUUAGUUCUUUUUAGAUAAUUCUAGUAAUUAGUUUAAUUUUCGUUCCCUGAGUUCGAUACCCUGCUUACUAAAUCUAUACCACCAAUAGGAAGGUCCACUGCCUUUUGUGUGAUUAAUUUACAUUUUAGAAGUAUGAUUAAAACUAGUUGGUUUUACAUACAUCAGGAGUCUUUGCCCUCUCGCAAUGGUUUGAGAAGACAGAGUCAGUCUUCGAAUUGGUGGACCUGUGUCCCAGUAUGCUUCCCAUAGAGGGUAGGAAAAUAGAGAGAUACAUAUGGGGGUUGGUGCCUGCAUUCCAGGGAAAUGUCCUCUCUUCAAACCCUGCUACCUUCGAUAGUGCCAAACGAUUGGCACAACGACUCAUAGAUCAUGGAGUCCCUACCCCGUCAGCAACAACCCUAGCCAUCUCAGGACCUUCCAAAGCCGCUGAUAUCAAGCGGAAGUUCUGGGAUGACAAGAAGAAGCAGAAAGCUGCUAAAAAGCAGAGCGUGGUGGCAGUACAUGCUACGAUAACAUGUGACAACCGUCAAUUUUCAGUCAAUUCAAAGUCAACGAAAGUCAACAAGUCAAACCGGUCCACUCAUUUUGCCGUAACUCCUAAACAACUCUCUAUUCUAACGAGAGAUCCUAAAUCAAAAAGUGCGUACACCUAGAUCUCCUUAACCUAAAACGGAGGUACGUGGCGAGCCAAACCGAUAAAACAAUGUUGCAUACUCAUCGGGAGUAUGCAAGAUCCUUAAACAAGGCGUAACAGGACUUACGGACCCUGCAUUGCAAAGCCGAACACUCAAAAAGGUCAGCAAUGAAACCUCUCUCAAUCGUUUUCACUCUAUCUCUUCUUAUGUCAAAUCUCUCCCAAAUCUCUCUAAGUAUGUGAAAUCUCUCCCACAUAUCUCUCUGUAUGUGAAAUCUCUCCAAGUAUGUCAAAUCUCUCCCAAAUAUCUCUAAGUAUGUGAAAUCUCUCCCAAAUAUCUCUCUGUAUGUGAAAUCUCUCCAAGUAUGUCAAAUCUCUCCCAAAUCUCUCUAAGUAUGUGAAAUCUCUCCCACAUAUCUCUCUGUAUGUGAAAUCUCUCCAAGUAUGUCAAAUAUCUCCCAAAUCUCUCUAAGUAUGUGAAAUCUCUCCCACAUAUCUCUUUGUAUGUGAAAUCUCUCCAAGUAUGUCAAAUCUCUCCCAAAUCUCUCUAAGUAUGUGAAAUCUCUCCCACAUAUCUCUUUGUAUGUGAAAUCUCUCCAAGUAUGUCAAAUCUCUCCCAAAUCUCUCUAAGUAUGUGAAAUCUCUCCCACAUAUCUCUUUGUAUGUGAAAUCUCUCCAAGUAUGUCAAAUCUCUCCCAAAUCUCUCUAAGUAUGUGAAAUCUCUCCCACAUAUCUCUUUGUAUGUGAAAUCUCUCCAAGUAUGUCAAAUCUCUCCCAAAUCUCUCUAAGUAUGUGAAAUCUCUCCCACAUAUCUCUUUGUAUGUGAAAUCUCUCCAAGUAUGUCAAAUCUCUCCCAAAUCUCUCUAAGUAUGUGAAAUCUCUCCCACAUAUCUCUUUGUAUGUGAAAUCUCUCCAAGUAUGUCAAAUCUCUCCCAAAUCUCUCUAAGUAUGUGAAAUCUCUCCCACAUAUCUCUUUGUAUGUGAAAUCUCUCCAAGUAUGUCAAAUCUCUCCCAAAUCUCUCUAAGUAUGUGAAAUCUCUCCCACAUAUCUCUUUGUAUGUGAAAUCUCUCCAAGUAUGUCAAAUCUCUCCCAAAUCUCUCUAAGUAUGUGAAAUCUCUCCCACAUAUCUCUUUGUAUGUGAAAUCUCUCCAAGUAUGUCAAAUCUCUCCCAAAUCUCUCUAAGUAUGUGAAAUCUCUCCCACAUAUCUCUUUGUAUGUGAAAUCUCUCCAAGUAUGUCAAAUCUCUCCCAAAUCUCUCUAAGUAUGUGAAAUCUCUCCCACAUAUCUCUUUGUAUGUGAAAUCUCUCCAAGUAUGUCAAAUCUCUCCCAAAUCUCUCUAAGUAUGUGAAAUCUCUCCCACAUAUCUCUUUGUAUGUGAAAUCUCUCCAAGUAUGUCAAAUCUCUCCCAAAUCUCUCUAAGUAUGUGAAAUCUCUCCCACAUAUCUCUUUGUAUGUGAAAUCUCUCCAAGUAUGUCAAAUCUCUCCCAAAUCUCUCUAAGUAUGUGAAAUCUCUCCCACAUAUCUCUUUGUAUGUGAAAUCUCUCCAAGUAUGUCAAAUCUCUCCCAAAUCUCUCUAAGUAUGUGAAAUCUCUCCCACAUAUCUCUUUGUAUGUGAAAUCUCUCCAAGUAUGUCAAAUCUCUCCCAAAUCUCUCUAAGUAUGUGAAAUCUCUCCCACAUAUCUCUUUGUAUGUGAAAUCUCUCCAAGUAUGUCAAAUCUCUCCCAAAUCUCUCUAAGUAUGUGAAAUCUCUCCCACAUAUCUCUUUGUAUGUGAAAUCUCUCCAAGUAUGUCAAAUCUCUCCCAAAUCUCUCUAAGUAUGUGAAAUCUCUCCCACAUAUCUCUUUGUAUGUGAAAUCUCUCCAAGUAUGUCAAAUCUCUCCCAAAUCUCUCUAAGUAUGUGAAAUCUCUCCCACAUAUCUCUUUGUAUGUGAAAUCUCUCCAAGUAUGUCAAAUCUCUCCCAAAUCUCUCUAAGUAUGUGAAAUCUCUCCCACAUAUCUCUUUGUAUGUGAAAUCUCUCCAAGUAUGUCAAAUCUCUCCCAAAUCUCUCUAAGUAUGUGAAAUCUCUCCCACAUAUCUCUUUGUAUGUGAAAUCUCUCCAAGUAUGUCAAAUCUCUCCCAAAUCUCUCUAAGUAUGUGAAAUCUCUCCCACAUAUCUCUUUGUAUGUGAAAUCUCUCCAAGUAUGUCAAAUCUCUCCCAAAUCUCUCUAAGUAUGUGAAAUCUCUCCCACAUAUCUCUUUGUAUGUGAAAUCUCUCCAAGUAUGUCAAAUCUCUCCCAAAUCUCUCUAAGUAUGUGAAAUCUCUCCCACAUAUCUCUUUGUAUGUGAAAUCUCUCCAAGUAUGUCAAAUCUCUCCCAAAUCUCUCUAAGUAUGUGAAAUCUCUCCCACAUAUCUCUUUGUAUGUGAAAUCUCUCCAAGUAUGUCAAAUCUCUCCCAAAUCUCUCUAAGUAUGUGAAAUCUCUCCCACAUAUCUCUUUGUAUGUGAAAUCUCUCCAAGUAUGUCAAAUCUCUCCCAAAUCUCUCUAAGUAUGUGAAAUCUCUCCCACAUAUCUCUUUGUAUGUGAAAUCUCUCCAAGUAUGUCAAAUCUCUCCCAAAUCUCUCUAAGUAUGUGAAAUCUCUCCCACAUAUCUCUUUGUAUGUGAAAUCUCUCCAAGUAUGUCAAAUCUCUCCCAAAUCUCUCUAAGUAUGUGAAAUCUCUCCCACAUAUCUCUUUGUAUGUGAAAUCUCUCCAAGUAUGUCAAAUCUCUCCCAAAUCUCUCUAAGUAUGUGAAAUCUCUCCCACAUAUCUCUUUGUAUGUGAAAUCUCUCCAAGUAUGUCAAAUCUCUCCCAAAUCUCUCUAAGUAUGUGAAAUCUCUCCCACAUAUCUCUUUGUAUGUGAAAUCUCUCCAAGUAUGUCAAAUCUCUCCCAAAUCUCUCUAAGUAUGUGAAAUCUCUCCCACAUAUCUCUUUGUAUGUGAAAUCUCUCCAAGUAUGUCAAAUCUCUCCCAAAUCUCUCUAAGUAUGUGAAAUCUCUCCCACAUAUCUCUUUGUAUGUGAAAUCUCUCCAAGUAUGUCAAAUCUCUCCCAAAUCUCUCUAAGUAUGUGAAAUCUCUCCCACAUAUCUCUUUGUAUGUGAAAUCUCUCCAAGUAUGUCAAAUCUCUCCCAAAUCUCUCUAAGUAUGUGAAAUCUCUCCCACAUAUCUCUUUGUAUGUGAAAUCUCUCCAAGUAUGUCAAAUCUCUCCCAAAUCUCUCUAAGUAUGUGAAAUCUCUCCCACAUAUCUCUUUGUAUGUGAAAUCUCUCCAAGUAUGUCAAAUCUCUCCCAAAUCUCUCUAAGUAUGUGAAAUCUCUCCCACAUAUCUCUUUGUAUGUGAAAUCUCUCCAAGUAUGUCAAAUCUCUCCCAAAUCUCUCUAAGUAUGUGAAAUCUCUCCCACAUAUCUCUUUGUAUGUGAAAUCUCUCCAAGUAUGUCAAAUCUCUCCCAAAUCUCUCUAAGUAUGUGAAAUCUCUCCCACAUAUCUCUUUGUAUGUGAAAUCUCUCCAAGUAUGUCAAAUCUCUCCCAAAUCUCUCUAAGUAUGUGAAAUCUCUCCCACAUAUCUCUUUGUAUGUGAAAUCUCUCCAAGUAUGUCAAAUCUCUCCCAAAUCUCUCUAAGUAUGUGAAAUCUCUCCCACAUAUCUCUCUGUAUGUGAAAUCUCUCCAAGUAUGUCAAAUAUCUCCCAAAUCUCUCUAAGUAUGUGAAAUCUCUCCCACAUAUCUCUUUGUAUGUGAAAUCUCUCCAAGUAUGUCAAAAUAUCUCCCAAAUCUCUCUAAGUAUGUGAAAUCUCUCUCAAAUCUCUCUCAAAUCUCUCUCGAAAUCUCUCAAAACUUUCUAUAAUGACUCGGGGCAUCCCGACCCUCGAAUUUGGUGAAAACAACCCAAAAACGGAAGUCUACGCGAAAAACGGACUUAAGGAAACGAACCCUCCGAACCGAAAGUACUAUUCAUGAACCGAACCGAAAGUACUAUUCAUGAAGGUCCGAACCGAGAGUACUGUUCAUGAACCGAACCGAAGCUGCUGACCCAUGAACCGAACCGAAGUCACUGUUCAUCCGAGCCGAAUCGCGCAUAGAAGGAAGGUCCGAACCGAACCUCGCAUAGAAGGAAGGUCCGAACCGAAAGUACUGUUCAUUACUGUUCACAACAGUCCCUUCGGUUCUAGCAUCACUUCGGACCGAACCCCUGACUUUCGCUUCUGACUCCUCAUCGGACCGAGCCUUCGGACGAACCCCGCCUUCGCUCCUUCUUCUGGCUCGCGCCUUCGCUUCCGAGACCAGCACCUCCCCUGACCGAACCUCGGCCGAGAUCCGAAGGGUCUCGCUGGAAAGUUCAUUUUUCACCCGUUUUUGCGUAUUUUUGCGUUUUAAACCCAUUUUUAAUUAUUUUAACAUGGGAUUUUCACCCAAAACUUUAUUUUAAAAUAUAAGACCCCUAAAUUAAUAAUUUAAUCAUAUUUUAAGGGUAAAAUCUUAUCCAAAUAAGAGUAGGUAAAGUACAAAGGUAGAGUGUUGACUUUACCUUAUUUUAUGACGCAAGCAACCCCCAUACCCACUCCAUGACCACCCACACUCCUUUCCACCAUACCUUGUACCUUUUACCUCCCUCACAAGCCAUCCCCACGUUUUUGAGAGCUGGAUAAUCAUCCUCUCUCCUCAUUUUCUCUCAUUUGCUCUCAUUUCACAAGAAGAUCAAACUCUUUUCUCUCUCACUUUCUCUCUCUAGAAAUUCAAGAUUCAAGGGCUGAUCUUGAGUCUUUCCUCCACAUUUGGUAAGCAUAAUCCAUUCUCUUUAUGAUUAUCUCAAUUAUUUCCACUCAAAUCAUGGAUAUCUUACACAAACUCCAAUAUAUUUGUGUUAGAGCUUCGAAUCUUCAAGUGAUUCUUCAAGUGUUCUUGGGUUGAACACUUCUCUUCUUCAACACUUACCUACUGAAAACACUUAAGGUGAGUUCAUACCCCUACAUUUUCACGUUUUCUCAAGUUUUUAGGGGGGGAAUACAAGUUAAAAUACUUAGAACAUAACUACAUUUUUCUAACAGCUUUCAUCAGAAAAGUUUCACUCCAUUCACGGACUGUUUUGGACAUCUUAAAUAUUUUUGUUUUCAAAACUGUUUUAGGUGCAUGUAGUUCCACUUCUUAGCUUUAAAAUGACUACUUGCACAUCUCCAUACGAUUUUUCUACAAUUUAUGGUGAUUUUUACAAAACUGCCUAUCAUUUCAAACAUCAAUCCGGACCAGUCUGUGAUUAUGGACUUUUUCACCCAAGUUAGAGGUCAUUAAAAAUUAUAAUAAAAAUUAUGAACAAACUAGACUCAUUUUCCAAACUCUCAGAAGUUACAGAACCUGAUUUGGACAUUUUAUGAUUUUUCUACAAUUUUUCCAAUAACAGUUACAGAAAAUGUUAUUAACAGAAAAACACAAUAAAUUUCAUUUCACCUUGUAACAUGUUGAGCAAGGUAUACAUCGUUAUGUGAUUAUGUGUAGUUGCAAUAUAUGACAAAUUUUGUAUUCUUACAUAGACAUACAUCAGAAAACAAAUGGAUUUACACCUUCACAAGUAUGACAAAUAUAUAUAUAUAUAUAUAUAUAUACAUAUAUAUAUAUAUAUACGAUACUACGAGGCUAUAUCCAUUAAAAUAUAAAUAUUGAUAAAUUAUGACAAGUAAGGCCUAUGCUCAUUUCCCACGAAAUCAAUCGAUAAACUAUAAUAGGUAUAGUUUAGGGUUAUUCAUAUAACAAACACAAUAUUAAAGGUCUUACACUUACAUAAGAGUUAUUGCCGCUAUGGACGAUUAAGAUAAUCUAUAAUAAGUAUAGUUAAGCCAUUAUACCCCCACAAACGAACUCGUUAGUUAUAAUCGGUAUAGUUAUGGUAAAUACAUAUUACAAACAAAGUAAUAAACUAUAAUAGGUAUAGUUUAUGUUUCAUCUACCCUAGGAACUUAAUUACAAGAAAGGAAUUCACCAUCACUUUCGAUAAGCUAUUCAUAUGCAUAGUUCAGGUUCACUAAUCUCUAUUAUUCCCCGGUGAACUAUGAUAUGUAUAGGUUAUAUUCACAUUAACACAUCAUAUAGGUUAUAUUCACAUCACUUUCGAUAAGCUAUUCAUAUGCAUAGUUCAGGUUCACUAAUCUCUAUUAUUCCCCGGUGAACUAUGAUAUGUAUAGGUUAUAUUCACAUUAACACAUCAUAUAGGUUAUAUUCACAUCACUUUCGAUAAGCUAUUCAUAUGCAUAGUUCAGGUUCACUAAUCUCUAUUAUUCCCCGGUGAACUAUGAUAUGUAUAGGUUAUAUUCACAUUAACACAUCAUAUAGGUUAUAUUCACAUCACUUUCGAUAAGCUAUUCAUAUGCAUAGUUCAGGUUCACUAAUCUCUAUUAUUCCCCGGUGAACUAUGAUAUGUAUAGGUUAUAUUCACAUUAACACAUCGUAUAGGUUACACUCACCAUCACCAUCACUUUUGAUAAGCUAUUCAUAUGCAUAGUUCAGGUUCCCUAAUCCCUAUUACUCCCCGGUGAACUAUGAUAUGUAUAGGUUAUAAUCACAAUAGAUUUUCAUAUGGUUAGACUUCAACUAUAAUCGUUGAGCGUAUAUGCUUGAGUCAUACAAGAAUUUAGUCUGGAUUGGCUUGGAAUUGGUGGUGCCCGCCUCAUCUCCUGUUCCUUGUUUGGUUGUGGACCUAGGGCGGACCCAUUAUAUUCGACGUUUUAUCUAACCUAAAUCUUAUAUAACUUAUAUAUGCUGGACAAAUAUAGGGGAAAUCUACGGGUAAAUCUAGAAUACAUCAACGCAUCAUAGAGGAUUAUUCUGUAUACCCUUAAUUAAGAAAAUAUUGGAUUUUCUGGAGAUCAAACUCUAUCGAUUUUAAAAGAGGAAAACGGUUUCUACUCCAAACAAAACUCUUAUGAACUCACCAACUUAAUUGUUGACACUUUUCAAAACUACUUGUAUUCUCAGGAAAUCAGUGAAACAGGAAAACUUCAGCGCUUUGAGGAUGGGACGUUAAACCGUCAACAAUUUAUUUUUGUCAUCAUAAUGUAAUUGAUUUUGAAACAUGUAAACAUAUACUUUGGUGUAACUUUUUCAAUUAUAUUUAUGAUGGUUGUAUUUACUUUGAGCACUAUUAUACAUAUUGUUGUGAUACUGUACAUGAAGUCCUCCACCCCUGGACGUUUCCGCCAUCCUUGGUUUGGGGGUGUGGCAUAACACCUACGUCUGUUGUUCCUGUAAAGCAGUACGCCGGAAACCUGCCGAAGUGCAACAAAUGCAACUUCCACCAUGUAGGCCCCUGCCGGGAAAUGCAGUGCGCCAACUGCAACAGGAAAGGACACACGGUCCAUUUCUGCAAGGCUCCGGCAAGGCUGAUCAACCAAGUCCUCGGCACUGGUGUGGGUGAGGCUUGCUACGGUUGUGGCGAGGCGGGCCACUUCAAAAGGAACUACCCGAAGGCAGGAAGUGCUGGUGGAUUAGGAAGAAUCUUGGCUAUAGGCCACGAGGAAGCGGUUGCCGACCCCACUGUGGUCACUGGUACGGUCGUCCUCGAUAACUCUUAUGCAUACAUGUUAUUUGAUAGUGGAGCAGAGAGGAGUUUUGUGAAUAAAAAAUUUGCUUACUUACUUAAACAAAAAUCACGCACACUUAAGGAACCAUUCACUGUAGAAUGGCUAACGGGAAAACUGAGAGUACUAGUAGCAUAUACAUAGGAUGUACCCUACCUUCAGAUAGCAAUACCUUCCCCAUCGACAUCAUGCCGGUCUCGAUUAAAAGCUGCAACGUCAUCAUCGGCAUGGAUUGGUUGAGUCUUCAUCGUGCAGACGUUAUGUGUUAUGAAAAGGAUGUACGCCUUAAUUUUUCGGCUAACAAAACUCUUAUCAUCUACAGCGACAAACCCGACACGAGCCUUCAUAUCAUUCCAAGUAUUCAAGCUCAGAAGUACUUACGGAAGGAAUAUCGUGCAUUCCUUGCUCACAUUGUCGAUACGAGCCUAGAAACAAAAGACCUGAAGAACAUUCUGAUAGUGCGGAACUUUCCUAACAUUUUUCUAGAAGAACUACCAGGAUUGCCUCCGUAACGACAAGUCGAGUUCAGAAUCAACUUAGUUCCAGGAGCUACCCCAGUAGCCAAAUCUCCCUACCGAUUAGCACUAGCUGAGAUGCAAGAACUAUCCAAUCAACUUAACGAACUACUAAGCAAGGGCUUUAUUUGACCAAGCUUCUCACCCUGGGGAGCACCGGUCUUUAUUUGUUAAGAAGAAAGAUGGAUCAUUCUGUAUGUGUAUGGACUACAGAGAACUCAACAAACUUACGGUCAAAAAUCAUUACCCUCUUCCAUGCAUAGACGAUUUAUUUGAGCAACUGCAAGGGGCAAUUUACUUCUCUAAGAUUGAUCUAAGAUCCGAAUAUCACCAGUUAUGGGUGCUAGAGGAGGAUUUUCCGAAGACAGCCUUCCGAACUUGUUACGGACACUACAAAUUCGUAGUGCUGCCAUUUGGAUUAACCAACGCGCCUGCAGUGCUUAUGUGGAUCAGUUCGUCAUUGUUUUCAUUGAUGACAUACUGAUCUACUCUCGAAGUAAGGAGGAGCAUAACGAUCAUCUGAGACAAGUCUUAGGAACAUUACGAGUAGAGAAACUCUAUACGAAGUUCUCUAAAUGUGAAUUUUGAAUCCGAAGAGUUGAAUUCAUAGGACACGUGGUUAGCGAAGAAGGAAUCCACGUGGACCCUUCCAAAAUUAAAACCAUUGAGAACUAGUCAGCACCGAAGACGCCUACAAAAAUUCGUCAAUUUCUAGGUCUCGCUGGCUACUAUCGCAGAUUCAUUCAGAACUUCUCACAGAUUGCAAAACCACUUACAACACUGACCCAGAUGGGUGUGGCCUUUGACUGGGAAGAGAAACAAGAGAAGGCGUUCGAAACAUUGAAGCGAUCCUUAUGCACCACGUCGAUACUAUCCCUCCCAGAAGGGAUAGAAGACUUCGUAGUCUAUUGUGAUGCAUCCAAUCAAGGGCUCAGUUGUGUCCUCAUGCAACAAGGAAAGGUCAUCGCCUAUGCCUCGAGAUAGCUGAAGACACACGAGGUCAACUACACCACACACGAUCUUGAGCUAGGAGCAGUUGUGUUUACUCUAAAGCUCUAGAGACACUAUCUAUAUGGUACGAACAGCACUAUCUUUAUAGACCACAAAAUCCUACAACACAUAUUUAACCAGAAGGAGCUUAACAUGAGGCAACGAUGGUGGGUUGAGCUACUCAAUGACUACAAAUGUGAAAUUCGUUAUCAUCCGGGUAAAGCCAACAUAGUAGCUGACGCCCUAAGUCGGAAGGAAUAUUUUGGUCGAAGAGUCAAAGAAUUGACCAUAACUAUCCAUUCACACCUAUCCACACAAAUCAAAGAGGCUCAACUCGAAGCCUUGAAACCUGAAAAUGUAGCAAGUGAACCCCUUAGAGGAAUGGAUAAAAACUUAGAAGUCAACGGUGGCAGAGCCUUCUACCUCAUGGACAUGAUCUGGACACCGAAGCAUAGUGACUUCAGAGACUUAGUCAUGACCGAGGCGUACAACACUCGAUAUUCCGUUCAGCGAGGUUCAUAUAAGAUGUAUUUGAAUCUUAAAAAGUUAUACUGGUGGCCUAACAUGAAAACAGAGAUUGCUACCUUUGUGAGUAAAUGCCUUACUUACGCAAAGGUCAAGGUUGAAUACCAGAAACCAUCAGGUUUACUACAACAACCGGAGAUACAAGAGUGGAAAUGGGAGCGGAUUACUAUGGACUUCAUAACCAAGUUACCCAAGACAACAGGUGGACUUGAUACUAUUUGGGUCAUCGUCGAUAGAUUGACCAAAUCCGCACACUUCCCACCUAUCAAAGAAACUGACAAGAUGGAGAAGCUU
rnacentral:lncRNA from 1 species